CGCCCCGACCUCCCACCACCAAAGCCGAGUGGACACCGCUGAAGCUUGGAAAAGUUUCCUGGGGAAAAUCCCUCUGGUGUCCCCCAGGUCGGUGUCAGAUCAAGAACCAAUUGGAGAACAGGACCUUAGCAUCAGGACCACCUCCUACAUUGUCCCCCAACUGAAGGGGGUAGUCCAGCUAUGAACUCAUCUCUUAGAAGAUGGUUCUCAUGAUUGAUGAAUCUCUUCUUUCAAGUCUUGACCUCUACAGCUUAUCUGAGGAAGAGAGCAGCAUAAGAAAGAAGAAGCAUCCUGUGAGCUCUUGAAAUAAAAUACAAGCUCCCAUGGCUGAUAUUCAUGAAGGGUACUUUCAUUGGUGGUUGGUUGUGUCCAGAUUUUGAGCUUUGCAAUUAUAUAUACCAUCUUUUGACCAUGAUUUAGAAGAUGCCCAAGAUGAAGUUGGGGAAGCAGAAAGAUCAGAGAGAGCAAUCUGAACUUGGAAGUGGUGACUGAAUUUUGACUCAAUUAUACAUUUAGAACUGCCUGGAUGCUUGCAAAAUGCCAGUUCCUGGAUCCCAGUCUAUCCAGUCCCUGCAAUUAUAGUCCCUGGAAGCAGAAAAAGAACAGGAGUUUGUAACGAGAGUCAGAGGAGCAUUUUACUCACAACAGUGGGAACAUUUGAUUUGAGAUGUGUUAUUAAUUUGAAACUAAAAUUUUCUCAUUUCAAUUUAAUUGGUACAGAAUAAACGAUAGGCAGUACUUUUGUAACCUUGUUAUUAAUUAGAGAUUACCUAGUAAAUGAAUCAGAGGAAAAUACGAUCAAAUAAUUAAUUUAGGUGGAGAAUAUUUGUCCUGCAAAAUAGAGUAUUAUAAAAGUAGAAUAUUUUGGAAAAACAUAUCUGAUGGUAGACAUGUCUAUGAUAUAAAAAACCUAUAGUUCAGUAUAAAUGAUAAGUAUCUGGUAGCAAAAACAGGCUUUGAAAAAAUUUGUAGACAUUUUAUUAAAUAAAUUGUAUGAACAACAAAUAAGGAUAUGAAAAGAUGUUCAAAAUUGGUUUUUAAAGAAGAAUAAAUCAAAAUUAUGAGUGAAAUUUCCACCAAGGAGGGAUAUGUGGCUACUUUUUAUAUUUUAAAUUAAUUAAUUUAUUAUACAUAUAUGUAUAUGAAAGCCACAGCAUGUGGAUGAAGCUUAGAAGAUAAUGUGAUAGUUUGUUCGAACAUUUGUGUCCCAGAAUUUAAACUCAAAUUGUUAGGUUUGGUGGCAAGUCUUUACUGAACCAUCUUGUUGGCUCUAUUAACUUUUAAUAGAUAUCUCAAGUAGACAUCAUAUUCUAGCAAAUAAGAACCUCACUACCAGGAAUGCUUUACUUAAUUUUUAUUUAUUGGCCAAUGAGACCACGUAGACUACAAAGCAUUAGAGUCUAUUGGCAUUACUCUUGGUUACCACUUAGAAUUCAACAGUAAGACUCUGUUGCUGAACAAAUCAUUCAUGUGAGUCAAAGAAUAGGAAGAAAUCAAGCUUGUACUCUUCUGGAUGAAGAGUACUCUUCUCUGUGUGCUUGCUACCUGGGGAAACAAGUAAUCACCGAUCUUACCCUGCUGUGUACCUUGUAAGCUAUGACAAGAACUGGCCUGACAAGAAAUCCAGUUAGUCCAUCAAUGGCAUGAAUGUUCAUGGCGUAUGCAUUGGACAUUCAUAGCAGAACCCUUUUCUGUGGCUCCAGGAUCUUGCCAGAAGAGGAAGCAGAAAGGUCGUAAGAGCCACAGGUGGAAUAUAACUUCAAGGAAAUGGAGUUUUCUGGACACAACAGUGCAGUUGCAUAUAAGAACUUACAGAAAUUGUGACAGCAUGCUCAAGAACUUUGGAAGCACAUGGUAGACAGAAUUCCAUCAUGUAAGGAGAAGGGGAAUGGACAUCAGUGGCUAGGAGCUAUUGGCAAAUGUUAGCUGCUGGGAGAGGGGAAUCAGUUUUCUUUAGUGGUGUGGCCCUAGGUAAGGUGGCCACACUUCCAGAGCAGGGUCUACCGCCAAGAAUAGAUAGGUAAUGUAUGGACUCCAGAGUU